GCAUCCAUGGCUGAAUGGUUAAAGCGCCCAACUCAUAAUUGGUAAAUUCGUAGGUUCAAUUCAUGCUAGAUGCA
rnacentral:tRNA from 1 species